rnacentral:ncRNA from 1 species
GCAACCUCAAGCUGGCGCGCACCGACCGCACGGUGUUCCUGAGCCUGCUGGGGAUUUCCUGGCUCUGGUUUUUGGGCGCGACCUUCCUCACCUCGUUUUUCAGCUUUGCCAAGGACGUGCUG